rnacentral:rRNA from 1 species
CGCUGGCGGCGUGCUUAACACAUGCAAGUCGAACGAUGAAGCCUAGCUUGCUAGGUGGAUUAGUGGCGAACGGGUGAGUAAUACGUGAGUAACCUACCUUUAACUCUGGGAUAAGCCUGGGAAACUGGGCCUAAUACCGGAUACGACCAAUCUCCGCAUGGGGUGUUGGUGGAAAGCGUUAUGUAGUGGUUAUAGAUGGGCUCACGGCCUAUCAGCUUGUUGGUGAGGUAACGGCUCACCAAGGCGACGACGGGUAGCCGGCCUGAGAGGGUGACCGGCCACACUGGGACUGAGACACGGCCCAGACUCCUACGGGAGGCAGCAGUGGGGAAUAUUGCACAAUGGGCGCAAGCCUGAUGCAGCGACGCCGCGUGAGGGAUGACGGCCUUCGGGUUGUAAACCUCUGUUAGCGGGGAAGAAGAGAGAUUGACGGUACCUGCAGAGAAAGCGCCGGCUAACUACGUGCCAGCAGCCGCGGUAAUACGUAGGGCGCGAGCGUUGUCCGGAAUUAUUGGGCGUAAAGAGCUUGUAGGCGGUUUGUCGCGUCUGCUGUGAAGGCCGGAGCUUAGCUCCGUGUAUUGCAGUGGGUACGGGCAGACUAGAGUGCAGUAGGGGAGACUGGAAUUCCUGGUGUAGCGGUGGAAUGCGCAGAUAUCAGGAGGAACACCGAUGGCGAAGGCAGGUCUCUGGGCUGUAACUGACGCUGAGAAGCGAAAGCAUGGGGAGCGAACAGGAUUAGAUACCCUGGUAGUCCAUGCCGUAAACGUUGGGCACUAGGUGUGGGGAACAUUCCACGUUUUCCGCGCCGUAGCUAACGCAUUAAGUGCCCCGCCUGGGGAGUACGGCCGCAAGGCUAAAACUCAAAGAAAUUGACGGGGGCCCGCACAAGCGGCGGAGCAUGCGGAUUAAUUCGAUGCAACGCGAAGAACCUUACCAAGGCUUGACAUAUACUGGACCGCAUCAGAGAUGGUGUUUCCCUUCGGGGCUGGUAUACAGGUGGUGCAUGGUUGUCGUCAGCUCGUGUCGUGAGAUGUUGGGUUAAGUCCCGCAACGAGCGCAACCCUCGUUCUAUGUUGCCAGCACGUUAUGGUGGGGACUCAUAGGAGACUGCCGGGGUCAACUCGGAGGAAGGUGGGGAUGACGUCAAAUCAUCAUGCCCCUUAUGUCUUGGGCUUCACGCAUGCUACAAUGGCCGGUACAGAGGGUUGCGAUACUGUGAGGUGGAGCUAAUCCCUAAAAGCCGGUCUCGGUUCGGAUUGGGGUCUGCAACUCGACCCCAUGAAGUCGGAGUCGCUAGUAAUCGCAGAUCAGCAACGCUGCGGUGAAUACGUUCCCGGGCCU